UGAAAUAUGACUAGGACAAAACUGCUUUGUGUUUCAGAUCAAGUAGACAUUAAAAAAGUCUCCUGCCCUGCUGGAUAUCCCAACCACUUCUGUUACCAGAGUGGUUGGGACAUCAGCUCUUUAUCAUCCAAAUACGUCAAGGCUUCACCUCCAGAGUUCAACAGUGGAUCAUAUCAUUUCAAACCUGCUUAUGAGGAUAUCUGCUCAGAUUUUGUUUUAGAGUAUCCUACAGAAGACUGCACAUACAGCCAAUAUACCGCCCCUCAAUAUGUUCCUGUUGAUUUCAUUGAUCCAAAGGACAUAAAUCAGCCUAAACCCACUAAACUUCCUGCAAAGAUCGAACCAAAGUUACCUUCAAGCUGUAAAAAUCUCACUGUUGAGUACAAAUGUCCAGG